ACUUUUUUAAUAUAAAUAAUAUAGGUGAUUUCCACUCACCAAAUCCCAAAAACCUGGGAAAAAGUA
rnacentral:tRNA from 1 species